rnacentral:rRNA from 1 species
GAGUUUGAUCCUGGCUCAGGAUGAACGCUGGCGGCGUGCUUAACACAUGCAAGUCGAACGAAGCAGGAAGGAAGAAGUUUUUCGAAGCCGAUUUUUUCCUUGCUUAGUGGCGGACGGGUGCGUAACACGUAGGCAACCUGCCCUGUUCAUUGGAAUAACUUCGGGAAACCGGUGCUAAUGCCAAAUAACAUCGCCUGUUGGCAUCAAGAGGCGAUCAAAGAAUAUCGGAACAGGAUGGGCCUGCGCCGGAUUAGCUAGUUGGUGAGGUAAUAGCUCACCAAGGCAACGAUCCGUAGCCGACCUGAGAGGGCGAUCGGCCACACUGGAACUGAGACACGGUCCAGACUCCUACGGGAGGCAGCAGUGGGGAAUAUUGCACAAUGGGCGAAAGCCUGAUGCAGCAACGCCGCGUGAGCGAAGAAGGCUUUCGAGUCGUAAAGCUCUGUCCUAUGAGAAGAUGAUGACGUACCAUAGGAGGAGCCCC